rnacentral:lncRNA from 1 species
AUAAAAGCUCAAGUGUGUUACUUGUUACUAAGUUGCUAGAUGCAGACAACUACGACACUUGGGCAAGAUUGAUGAAAUAUGCAUCACAUAUAAAAAAGAAACUAAGGUUUGCAGAUUGAAGCUUAAAAGGACCAAUAGAUCUAACAUAUCUUCUCAUGGAACAUUAGUUACAAUGUAAUGACAUCGUCAUCACCUAGAUACAAAAUACAUUAUCUGUUGAUAUUAAGUGUAACACAUUUCAUGUA